rnacentral:rRNA from 1 species
CUUCUCGCUAUCACUUCUGGAUGGACCUGCGGUGCAUUAGCUUGUUGGUGGGGUAACGGCCUACCAAGGCGAUGAUGCAUAGCCGAGUUGAGAGACUGAUCGGCCACAAUGGGACUGAGACACGGCCCAUACUCCUACGGGAGGCAGCAGUAGGGAAUCUUCCACAAUGGGCGCAAGCCUGAUGGAGCAACACCGCGUGAGUGAAGAAGGGUUUCGGCUCGUAAAGCUCUGUUGUUAAAGAAGAACACGUAUGAGAGUAACUGUUCAUACGUUGACGGUAUUUAACCAGAAAGUCACGGCUAACUACGUGCCAGCAGCCGCGGUAAUACGUAGGUGGCAAGCGUUAUCCGGAUUUAUUGGGCGUAAAGAGAGUGCAGGCGGUUUUCUAAGUCUGAUGUGAAAGCCUUCGGCUUAACCGGAGAAGUGCAUCGGAAACUGGAUAACUUGAGUGCAGAAGAGGGUAGUGGAACUCCAUGUGUAGCGGUGGAAUGCGUAGAUAUAUGGAAGAACACCAGUGGCGAAGGCGGCUACCUGGUCUGCAACUGACGCUGAGACUCGAAAGCAUGGGUAGCGAACAGGAUUAGAUACCCUGGUAGUCCAUGCCGUAAACGAUGAGUGCUAGGUGUUGGAGGGUUUCCGCCCUUCAGUGCCGGAGCUAACGCAUUAAGCACUCCGCCUGGGGAGUACGACCGCAAGGUUGAAACUCAAAGGAAUUGACGGGGGCCCGCACAAGCGGUGGAGCAUGUGGUUUAAUUCGAAGCUACGCGAAGAACCUUACCAGGUCUUGACAUCUUGCGCCAACCCUAGAGAUAGGGCGUUUCCUUCGGGAACGCAAUGACAGGUGG